rfam:Oryza sativa Japonica Group DNA, chromosome 9, cultivar: Nipponbare, complete sequence.
AACCACACUAUCAAUGAAUAGAUUCACCCGUGAGAUGACGUGACUAUUUCAUCUAGGAUGAGGACAUGUCAUCCUAUUAACCGCCAUCGCACGAAAUUAAUAGGAUGCCGUCUUCAUCCUAGAUGGAACGACCACGUCAUCUCACGGGUGAAUCUAUUCAUCGAUAGUGUGGUU